UGACGGAGCAACGCCGCGUGAGUGAUGAAGGUUUUCGGAUCGUAAAGCUCUGUUGUUAGGGAAGAACAAGUGCAAGAGUAACUGCUUGCACCUUGACGGUACCUAACCAGAAAGCCACGGCUAACUACGUGCCAGCAGCCGCGGUAAUACGUAGGUGGCAAGCGUUGUCCGGAAUUAUUGGGCGUAAAGGGCUCGCAGGCGGUUUCUUAAGUCUGAUGUGAAAGCCCCCGGCUCAACCGGGGAGGGUCAUUGGAAACUGGGAAACUUGAGUGCAGAAGAGGAGAGUGGAAUUCCACGUGUAGCGGUGAAAUGCGUAGAGAUGUGGAGGAACACCAGUGGCGAAGGCGACUCUCUGGUCUGUAACUGACGCUGAGGAGCGAAAGCGUGGGGAGCGAACAGGAUUAGAUACCCUGGUAGUCCACGCCGUAAACGAUGAGUGCUAAGUGUUAGGGGGUUUCCGCCCCUUAGUGCUGCAGCUAACGCAUUAAGCACUCCGCCUGGGGAGUACGGUCGCAAGACUGAAACUCAAAGGAAUUGACGGGGGCCCGCACAAGCGGUGGAGCAUGUGGUUUAAUUCGAAGCAACGCGAAGAACCUUACCAGGUCUUGACAUCCUCUGACAACCCUAGAGAUAGGGCUUUCCCUUCGGGGACAGAGUGACAGGUGGUGCAUGGUUGUCGUCAGCUCGUGUCGUGAGAUGUUGGGUUAAGUCCCGCAACGAGCGCAACCCUUGAUCUUAGUUGCCAGCAUUCAGUUGGGCACUCUAAGGUGACUGCCGGUGACAAACCGGAGGAAGGUGGGGAUGACGUCAAAUCAUCAUGCCCCUUAUGACCUGGGCUACACACGUGCUACAAUGGACAGAACAAAGGGCUGC
rnacentral:rRNA from 1 species